rnacentral:rRNA from 1 species
CAUUGCUGGAACGCGCCCCAGGCGCACCCAGAAACCCUUUGUGAACUUAUACCUUACUGUUGCCUCGGCGCUAGCUGGUCCUUCGGGGCCCCUCACCCUCGGGUGUUGAGACGGCCCGCCGGCGGCCAACCUAACUCUUGUUUUUACACUGAAACUCUGAGAAUAAAACAUAAAUGAAUCAAAACUUUCAACAACGGAUCUCUUGGUUCUGGCAUCGAUGAAGAACGCAGCGAAAUGCGAUAAGUAAUGUGAAUUGCAGAAUUCAGUGAAUCAUCGAAUCUUUGAACGCACAUUGCGCCCUCUGGUAUUCCGGAGGGCAUGCCUGUUCGAGCGUCAUUUCAACCCUCAAGCCUGGCUUGGUGAUGGGGCACUGCUUUUACCCAAAAGCAGGCCCUGAAAUUCAGUGGCGAGCUCGCCAGGACCCCGAGCGCAGUAGUUAAACCCUCGCUUUGGAAGGCCCUGGCGGUGCCCUGCCGUUAAACCCCCCAACUUCUGAAAAUUUGACCU